rnacentral:lncRNA from 1 species
AUGAGGAUUAGGCCGUCCUUCAACCUGUAUCACAGAAAUUUCGAAAGGGCUGGGCCGUGGGCACCUCUCAUUCCUCAUUCUGCAGAGCGCUCAGACGGGGCGGCACCUAGGCGGUGGGAGCAGCAGCAGACCUUCGCCGGCUGCAGACAGGUGCACACGGACGCAGGGUGGGGAGCACCCCCGCAGGUCCUCAGCACCCUGGGCAGCUACGGCGAGCCAGUGCACCAGCUCAGGGAUCCAGACGGAUACCCAGAAAGACUGCUGACUGCAGGAGAAGACGACAACGCCAGGGUGCUGGGGCCGGACCCCGAGGGUGGCGGCCACUUCAGGGAGGAGCGGACACGGCGGGAACCAGGGAGCACUCCUCUGCUCCAGGAACGCCUGUGGGAAUCCCCCGGCACAGACUCGCUGAAUCUCCCAGUUUUCAACACUGGUUCAGUGUGAACCCUCGGCUGGCCUGAGGAAACAUCUGCUGGGUGAAUACGGCCCCUGCCCCCAGUCUGUACCCAAGGCAGAUGACAGAGGUCAGAAGACAGCUUGCCCGGACUGACUCACCCGCUCUUGGGUGUGCCCAGCUCAGCAUGGAGGCUGGAGAACCGUGGAGUCACCGCGAUCCAACAGAUUUGAGUCUGAUCCCGGCUCACCUCCGACUACCUGCAAGGCCUCAAGUGAACUAUUACCCAACCUCCCGUACCUCCACGUCCGUCUGCAAGAUGGGCUGAUAAUACCCAACACUGAGAAAUUUGUGAGGCUUCAAAAUGUGUGUGUGUGUGUGUGUGUGUGUGUGUGAAGACGACCAUGAACUCUUCCUAAAUGUCAAAUUUCCUUCCCCCAUAGCUCUUAAAAAAAAUAAAUAAACAAAAAACCCCCAAAAAACCAACUUGGCCAACUCUCAGCUUCUUUAGAUGUCACGGUUCUCCUCUGUUACAAACAAGAAUAACCCUCCAGCCCUGCUGCUCUAAGCGCACUGGAUGGGAUGAAGUGGUGCAGAUGGAAGCAGGUGCUUACAAAUUAGAGAAGUAUGAUCGACCUGAACGCCAACACCCUUUCCUCCCAUUUCGAGGCCCAGGAUGCACUAAUUUGCUUUCCUAAAGUGUUUCUACCCCUUCCAUAGCGCGAUGCGGGGAGAAGAUGGAAUCGCGGUUGUGGUGAUUCUCAGCAAUCAACUCCCCAGGGUCCGACAGUCCCCCCACCCUCACAGAGGCCAGGAAACAUUAGGUCACCGCCUGGUCACUUAGAGGCCCAGCAGGUUUGUUUUCUCUCUCCAUGCUCUCCUCUUAGAGAACUGAGGUAGAACAUAAAGUCACUUACCAGCUGCAUCUUUCUCUUACCCACACAAAAAACCUGGAGCCACAGGCCAAACAACUACACUUAAGUAUCAUCGAGAAUUCGCUAUGACAUUUUCCAACUGAAAAAGGAUUUUUGUCAGUUCUCUCAUUUCCCCACACCCUGUGACCAAACUGGGACAUGCUUUGGCAUUUCCUCAACUGACUUAAAGCAUCUUUACAACUCCUUUUAGACUAACCAUCCCAGCCAGGGCUGGGCUGACGGGCCAACCUAGCACUUUGACUUUCAACAAUUACAGUAUCAUUUACUUAGUUUUUCUCUUAAAAGCAAAGAGGCAUCAGGGACGCCUGGGUGGCUCAGUGUUUGAGCAUCUGCCUUCGGCUCAGGGCGUGAUCCCAGUUUCUGGGAUCUUGCAUCAGGCUCACCAGGAGGAGUCUGCUUCUCCCUCUGCCUGUGUCUCUGCCUCUCUCUCUAUAUCUCUCAUGAUUAAAUAAAAUCUUUAAGGAAAAAAAAAAAAAGAAAAAAGCAAAGAGGCAUUAAAAUCAAUUCCACUGCAGCUACUAAGAAAUGUAGGUUUAUCUUAUGCCUUCUCCUACCCCAGACUUGAAUGGCCCCUUUAUGCAAUCACAUUUCCAAAUUACUAAUCAAGCAUGACAGGAUGAGUAGGAAUUGUAUGAUGAAUCUACAGUGAAAAAAAUGAGCAAGUUGGAUAAAUAUACAGAUAUUACUUCCCACGUCCCUCUUCUUCAAAGCAAGGUUCUUGGAAAGCAAAAAGAACAGUGCAGAAUGUUUUAGGAGUCAAUAUUUCACUAAAUAUUUACACGUCUUGAUGCCGGAGGCAAACACGGUGAAAAGGGCAAUACAAAUAUAAGAUUUCUUUCAGGCAAUAAGUACAUCUCCAUUCACCCCAUGAUUUGUUUUUAUAAUAUACACUUUUUAUUUAUGUAUACCAUGUUUCCAGAAGUAUACACAAAACUUAAAUGGGUAAGUUGUAUGUUUACUACUCUGACCUGCUUUUUUUUUUAAAUGUUUUUAUUUAUUUAUUCAUGACAGACACAGGCAGGGACAGAGGCAGAGGGAGAAGCAGGCUCCCUGCAGGGAACCCCAUGCCAGACUCGAUCCCGGGACCCCAGGAUCACUACCUGAGCCAAAGGCAGAUACUCAACCACUGAGCCACCCAGGCGUCCCUCUAAGUUCUGUUUUUUGAUGAGCAUAACUUAGAAAGGAUUUGGGCAGUUCUAAAAAUUUGCUAACACAUUUUACACAACCUGUCUGUUGGGACACAACUCAAUUCCCAGCUUACUAAUACCCUUUGUAUAAAAAAAAGCUGACCCAGCAUCCACCUGCAUCAACUUGAUCCCCUCAGCUCAGUCAUGCUCAGCAACACCCGGUGCCUUCGUAGCAAAAAUAAAAAAAAAAAAAAAAAAAAAAAAGAAAAGGAAAAAAAAAAAAAAAAGCAGCAGCAGCACCGCAGGAGGGAAAAAAGAAAAAAAGACUUUACACCCGAUUUACAAAGAGUGAGGGUGUGCACAAGGCCUUGAAUCCAGAAACACUAGCAGUGCCUUCCAACUCUACCUUCUGCAAAACAAAACAAAACAAAACAACAACAAAAAAAGUGGUGAUGUUACUUUUAAAGGAAAAUGCUAAACAUACCAAAGCAGAGACACUUGUGUAAGGAAUUCCACAGCCCAGCCUUCAUCCCGCUUCAACCAAUAACAACUCACAGCCCCCGUCCUCGGAGCUCAUCGCUCACUUUUGCCCCUGCAGCCCUCUCCCCAAACUGGAUUAUUUGGAAGCAAAUCCUGCCCCUAUAUUUCAACUUCAGUAUGUAUUUCCAAAAGAUAAAGGUUUUUUAAAACCAACAACAAAACAAAACCGUAACACCGGUACCAAAAAUAGCUAAGCAAACCUAAUAUCCUUCAGACGACCAACUAGCCGGCCCAAUCCCCUUUUAUCGGCUCAAUUUUUCAUGGACUUUCCUCCCUUCAAGUCAGGACCUAACCAAGCUGGCGCCCUGCAGCGCCGCAUCACCGGGGCUGACACCCGCAGGUCCCCUCCCGGCCGCUGGCGCUCGGCCGCACCUGCCUCCACCUGCGUCCACCGGCCUCGCCCGCCGCCACCUGCCGGGGCCACCCGCCCAGGUGAGAAAGCGGAGCCUCGGCCCACGAGUGGCGGGGCGCAGGCCCAGGGGCGGCCGCCGGGAGGCG